rnacentral:rRNA from 1 species
GGACCCGCACAAGUAGUGGAGCAUGUGGUUUAAUUCGAAGAUACGCGCAGAACCUUACCAACACUUGACAUGUUCGUCGCGACUCUAAGAGAUUAGAGUUUUCGGUUCGGCCGGACGAAACACAGGUGCUGCAUGGCUGUCGUCAGCUCGUGUCGUGAGAUGUUGGGUUAAGUCCCGCAACGAGCGCAACCCUCACUUUUAGUUGCCAUCAUUAAGUUGGGCACUCUGAAAGAACUGCCAGUGAUAAGCUGGAGGAAGGUGGGGAUGACGUCAAGUCCUCAUGGCCCUUACGUGUUGGGCUACACACGUGCUACAAUGGUAUCUACAACAGGAAGCAAGACUGCGAGGUCAAGCAAAUCCUUAAAAGAUACCUCAGUUCGGAUUGCACUCUGCAACUCGACUCUAUGAAGCUGGAAUC